rnacentral:rRNA from 1 species
CGUCUAUAUACGUAUAGCAUAUCAAUAAGCGGAGGAAAAGAAACUAACUAGGAUUCCCUCAGUAACGGCGAGUGAAGCGGGAAGAGCUCAAAUUUGAAAUCUUCAAGGUUCUACCUUGACGAAUUGUAGUUUAAAGAAGUGUUUUCUGUUGGAUGUUUUGGUAAAAGUUCUUUGGAAUAGGACAUCAUAGAGGGUGAGAAUCCCGUAUUUGACCAUUAUUUCCAACUUUGUGAUACACUUUCAAAGAGUCGGAUUGUUUGGGAAUGCAGUCCAAAAUGGGUGGUAAAUUUCAUCUAAAGCUAGAUACUGGCGAGAGACCGAUAGCGAACAAGUACCGUGAGGGAAAGAUGAAAAGAACUUUGAAAAGAGAGUUAAACAGUACGUGAAAUUGUCAAAAGGGAAGCGUUUGACACCAGUGUUGUUUUCUCGAAAAUCAAUUAAAAAAUGAGUGGAUUUUGUGUUGUAUUGACUUUAUCAGCUUUCUGCACUCUUUUCUUAUCUUUUUUAAUGCACUUUUCGUUUAACAAGUCAACAUCAAUUUCUUUUGUUGUAAAAGGGUCAUUGGAAGGUGGCUUUCUUUUCGGAGAAAGUGUUUAUAGCCUUUGACUUCUGCAGUCGGAGAGAUUGAGGUCUGCAGCGUAGAUCCUUCGGGGUUAGAUGCAUUUGUGCUAAGUUAUAGCCUUUCAUAGACAACUUGUUGACUAUGAUCAGUCAUGUAGCUUACUCGCUUAUGUCAUUUUACCUACGCUUAGGAUGUUGACGAUCAGCUGAGCGCG